UACGUAGGGGGCAAGCGUUGUCCGGAAUCAUUGGGCGUAAAGCGCGUGUAGGCGGCUCGAUAAGUCUGCUGUGAAAGUUCAGGGCUCAACCCUGAAAUGCCGGUGGAAACUGUCGAGCUAGAGUCCGGAAGGGGCGAGUGGAAUUCCUGGUGUAGCGGUGAAAUGCGCAGAUAUCAGGAGGAACACCAAUGGCGAAGGCAGCUCGCUGGGACGUGACUGACGCUGAGACGCGAAAGCGUGGGGAGCAAACAGG
rnacentral:rRNA from 1 species